AAAAAAUCUAAAGAAAAAGAAAGAAGAGGCAUUGACAGGCUGACCAGUGACAUCAUUCGUUACCUGAAUCAUUAUCCAUCACAUAAGUGGAGAGAAGAAUCAUGCGAACACGUAAGAAAAGUUGGGAUCAGCGCCGGAGAGAAAGGAAACUGAAAAUGCGAGAAGCCAUGGCCAGUGAAACCCCGGAGCAGAGACAGGUCCGUCUGGAUCAUCUCAGGAGAUACAUGAAACAGGUUCGAGACUCGGAAACACCGGAGCAGAGAGAGGUCCGCCUCACUGACAAUAGAGACAAGAUGCGCCGGGUCCGUGCCAGGAAAAAAAGAGAGACAAUGACCAUUCAACAACAACAACAACAACAACCACAACUAAGCACGGGAAACACCCAGCGAGCCAGAGCCUCUGGAGGAGCAGGGCAGGGGGCCACUCGGGGCCACUCGUCGGAACAGGAGGAAUGUGCUGCGAACCUGGGAAACCCUGGAGGAGGCAGCCAAACGCAUCCUGGGUGACCGAUGGAAGAACCUGGAGACUCUGAUGGCUGAGAGGAAGAGCGGGAUUUCUGUGGCGGAGGCGUCCGAUAUGUUUCAAGAUGAGAUCAGACAAGGCCUCAUACAUGUUUGCUGCCUGUGUAAUCGAUUACUCUUCCAAAAGACUGAGGUACAGCUUCCCGAGGUCAAGUUAGAAGACACUGCAGCUGAUGGAUUCCCACCGGAUCAUACAUCCCAGAGACACUGUAUUGUAGUUGUCUGCCAACUGCGAAUCUAUGUAGACUUUAAAGAGUCAGCCCGGUCACCCUGUCUCAUUUAACUAAAAGUUGAAAAUGCCACAUCAAUGACGAUGACCACAGCGUUGGAUCCAUGUUCCAUCAUAAAAAAAAAAUCACAACAUUUUUGAGCACGCGUGAGCUGGACAGUUGGAUAGCUACGUUGUUAGCUAUCAAUGAAAUGAAAUCCAAUAUACGUUACAUCAGAAGAGGAGCGGUGCAACAGAAGAGACUUGAUGCAGAUCAGCUUGUGUGUGUGGCAGAUAUCCUGCUAAUCAAUGAGUGAACCGAAUAGACUGAGCAGACUUUCUUUUUGACAUUUAGAAAUUACCAGAUAUGGUUAAUCAGAAACCAUUUAAACCUUGUGUGCUUGGAGAUAUUACUUGAAUAUGUUCUUUGUAAAUACACUGUCAAAUCCUACUAUUAAUAAAACAAUUUUAUGCCUCCAUGCCAACAACA